rnacentral:rRNA from 1 species
CCUACGGGUGGCAGCAGUGAGGAAUAUUGGUCAAUGGACGCAAGUCUGAACCAGCCAUGCCGCGUGCAGGAUGACGGCUCUAUGAGUUGUAAACUGCUUUUGUACGAGGGUAAACCCCGAUACGUGUAUCGGGUUGAAAGUAUCGUACGAAUAAGCAUCGGCUAACUCCGUGCCAGCAGCCGCGGUAAUACGGGGGAUGCAAGCGUUAUCCGGAUUUAUUGGGUUUAAAGGGUGCGUAGGCUGUGAGGUAAGUCAGCGGGGAAAUGCCCCCGCUCAACGGGGUGAAGUGCCAUGGAUACUGCCUUGCUGGAAUGCGGAUGCCGUGGGAGGAAUGUGUGGUGUAGCGGUGAAAUGCAUAGAUAUCACACAGAACACCGAUUGCGAAGGCAUCUCACGAAUCCGCGAUUGACGCUGAUGCACGAAAGCGUGGGUAUCAAACAGGAUUAGAUACCCGGGUAGUC